rnacentral:rRNA from 1 species
UACGUAGGGGGCGAGCGUUGUCCGGAUUUAUUGGGCGUAAAACGCUUGUAGGCGGCCACCGCGCGUCGGCUGUGAAAUCUCCCGGCUCAACUGGGAGGGGUCAGGCGAUACGGCGGGGCUCGAGGCAGGUAGGGGGAAGCGGAAUUCCCGGUGUAGUGGUGGAAUGCGUAGAUAUCAAGAGGAACACCUGAGGUGAAGACGGGUUGCUGGGCCGACACUGACGCUGAGUGCGCGAAAGCCAGGGGAGCAAACGGG